UUCUAAUUUUGCUGAAUGUAACGUAUAGUGCAUGACCGAGGACCAAUCACUUAUGUCGGUCGGUCGCAAAACAUUUGGGUAGUUUUCCAACGAACGUUUCUUAGACACGUCGUAGCCGGUGAUCGUCACAGUGAAAUUAAAUGGUUCAAUUGGUGCACAUAACAUGAGCCACAUGAUAAGACUGCACUACCAAAUAGAUGCCAAGACUGAACAGUGAACAUCAUCGAUUAUAUGACUGGCGGAAAAUCAAUUUGUACAAGUACAGAAGUUAGUGACAAGUACAAAUGAGCAUGUUGUGAAGCAAAAAAUACAAACAUAUUGAAAACUGUUAAAUGACAACCGACUGGGAAAUCAACAUCAGCUGUUGAAGGCUGAAAACUCUGUGAUCUUUCAUUUUAAAUAUCAUAAAUUCUUCUUUGGGCAAUCAAAUGGAGGCGUUUCCAAAGACAAGAAGAUUGUUUCUCAUGAUGGCUUUAAAUGGUCUGCCUGUAGUUGUGCUAUAAACAAUGAGAAAAAACAAAAAAUUGAUUAAGAGAGUUAAUUUCAUGACAUCUAUUUGAGUAUGCCUCAUUUAUAUGUCAAAAGACCGUAUCCAAUUAGGUCACUCAAAAAAUGUCUAGCAGCAAUAUUUGUUCCACAAUCUUCAAUCUACCAUCUAAAACUUGUAUGGAUAUCAAGUCAAUGGAUGUCAACAAUGUUCCUCCCAUUGCCACUUCUUACCUUAAGGUUACUGGAAAAAUUGUAAUACUUUGAGAAUACUCAUUGGUAAAUAUGAAAAAUGCCAGUAUGUAUUUUUGAAUGGAACGCCAAAAAGGAAGAAAGAACAAGUUAAAAAAACUCAAAAAACACAAAACACAAAAUACAUAGUUUCAACCACAGAAGGAAAAAAUAUAUUGAUUAUAAGUGUGAACAAUUCAUAACAGUGAGACAACUGAAAAAAUACGUAUUGAUGAAGACAUUGAAAAAAACAUGAAAAAAAAAGCACGUUUAAAUAAUGAAUACAGAUUUAGUGUUGACAGUAAUUCCUAAUAUAGCACUGGAAAAAUCAUAUUGUACUUAAUAGAAAAAUUUGAAGAUUUAGAGUUAUAAGUUGUUUGCAAUAUAAAUUAUCUGAUGGUUAUUUCAUUUGAUAAUAACAAACGGCUAAAAUACAAGGCUGGGCAUUAAGAAGUUAAAAGGUACCAUACAUUGCUGAGUUUUGCUGCACAUACAAAAUACUGAGGAAAAGAGAGGACUACACACUGUCUUCUCGAGUUCAGAUGACCAACACAGUCGUAAUCUUUGGCCGAUUGACGUUGACGCAAAUUUUUAGUGUGUUGCUACAAUAAUCUGGAAUCUGUUUCAAUGGUGUGCUGUCUUCGAUUUUUCUGCUCUUCAAGUGUUUAUUUUGAGUAGAAGUUAAAUGAAUGAAGGAUGUUAGAGAAAUGAUUCUACUAUUCUACAUCACUACCAUCAUCCUUUAUAAUUAAACAAUAAUUAUUUUAUAAGAUUUAGUUUAGUUUGAAUUUAUAAGCUUAGUUAAGAUCUUCUAUAUUAAACUUCCUUUGUACCCUCGGUGGAGAUCAUUCUAAAAUCAAUGUAUUCAUUGCUGCGCUCAGAAUUUAAAAAUAUUAUUUAAAAUGUGUUUAAAAAAAGGUUUUGAAAGUUCCCAUUCGAAAAAUGUGUAUUAAAUACAUAACAAUAUAUCAUUAAGUGUAGUUGAGUUGUGUUAAAUGCUUUGUUUGAACACUAAUCUAAUAUUUUUUUACAAGCACACGUUUUACUACACUAAAAUCUCAAUAAUAUUCAACAACCGGUUUCAGGUGUAUACUUCAAAUCGCCCUACGCUACGUAUUUGGGAGGCAAUUCGUUAAGUGCAUCUGAUGAAAAAACCGUGUCCUAUUGGCUGACAAUGAACUCGUGGAAUAGUACUCGGGGAGACAGAAUAUUUCAAAAUACGAGGAGGCACGAACGAGUGCCAAAUCAAGGAAUUCGUCAACUGCUGGGGUGCCAAAAUAUUAUAAAUAGGGCUGGGAUAACAGGUUAGGGAUUAGGUAUUACGUUUAAUAUAUUUCUAAUCAUUAUAUUGAGAAGUUAUUAAAAUUGUUUAAUGUAUUAUUGGUCUUUUAGUUAAUUUUACACUAUAAUCUGGUUUUAUUAAUAACAUUUGAUGAGAAUAUUUAAAAGAAAAGUAAUUUUGUAAAGUGAUAAUAAAGAUUUUACUUGAUAAAAUAUUACUUAUCGUAAUUUUUCGAAUGGAUCCAUGCCAUGUAAAAGUCGAGAUUACUAAAAAUGGUGAUGGACAAUUAAAUUAGAAUAAUUAUUUCUCCUCACAUCAUUGAAAAUCGACAUCGAAUAUUAGCAAUUGUGCUGUGCUGAAAAACUUUUUAUUAAAUUUAUUAAGGAAUAUUUUUUUGUUCAAAACUUACUUAAAAAUAAAAAAAAUAUGUGAAUUUUAUAGGUGCACUAUUUUUAUUGCUUAAAAUCAUUUCUUUAGUGUAUUUUUGGGAUUUUUAAAGAACAUAACAUUCACAGCCUUAAUUAUAAAUAAUAGUACCUGCGGGUGGCUAAUAGAUUCUAUGUCAUCUAUUUUCUGUAUGUAAUUAUUAUUAUCAUCAUUACUCAUAGCAUUAUUUAAAAAAAUAUAUAUUGUAUCUAGACUAAUUGAGCAACAAACAAAAAUUAGAGUUUUCAAAAAAAUAAUGUACUUACAAAUUUUUUCGUCAUAAUCAUGGCUCUGAAGAUAUUAUAUAGCUAUAAAAAAGAUAGUUUUUAGAAGUCUUAUAAUAUACACUUUAAAAUGUCA